rnacentral:rRNA from 1 species
GAUGAACGCUGGCGGCGUGCCUAAUACAUGCAAGUCGAGCGAACAGACGAGGAGCUUGCUCCUCUGACGUUAGCGGCGGACGGGUGAGUAACACGUGGAUAACCUACCUAUAAGACUGGGAUAACUUCGGGAAACCGGAGCUAAUACCGGAUAACAUGUUGAACCGCAUGGUUCAACAGUGAAAGACGGUCUUGCUGUCACUUAUAAAUGGAUCCGCGCCGCAUUAGCUAGUUGGUAAGGUAACGGCUUACCAAGGCAACGAUGCGUAGCCGACCUGAGAGGGUGAUCGGCCACACUGGAACUGAGACACGGUCCAGACUCCUACGGGAGGCAGCAGUAGGGAAUCUUCCGCAAUGGGCGAAAGCCUGACGGAGCAACGCCGCGUGAGUGAAGAAGGUCUUCGGAUCGUAAAACUCUGUUAUUAGGGAAGAACAAAUGUGUAAGUAACUAUGCACGUCUUGACGGUACCUAAUCAGAAAGCCACGGCUAACUACGUG